GAUGAACGCUGGCGGCGUGCCUAAUACAUGCAAGUCGAGCGAACAGACGAGGAGCUUGCUCCUCUGACGUUAGCGGCGGACGGGUGAGUAACACGUGGAUAACCUACCUAUAAGACUGGGAUAACUUCGGGAAACCGGAGCUAAUACCGGAUAAUAUAUUGAACCGCAUGGUUCAAUAGUGAAAGACGGUUUUGCUGUCACUUAUAGAGGGAUCCGCGCCGCAUUAGCUAGUUGGUAAGGUAACGGCUUACCAAGGCAACGAUGCGUAGCCGACCUGAGAGAGUGAUCGGCCACACUGGAGCGGAGACACGGUCCAGACUCCUACGGGAGGCAGCAGUAGGGAAUCUUCGGCAGUGGUGGAAAGCCUGACGGAGCAAGGCCGCGUGAGUGAUGAAGGUCUUCGGAUCGUAAAGCUCUGUUAUUAGGGAAGAACAGAUGUGGAAGUAGCUAUGCACGUCUUGACGGUACCUAAUCAGGAAGCCACGGCUAACUACGUG
rnacentral:rRNA from 1 species